rnacentral:rRNA from 1 species
UGCAAGCCGAGCGGUAGAUUACUUUCGGGUAAUUGAGAGCGGCGUACGGGUGCGGAACACGUGUGCAACCUGCCUUUAUCAGGGGGAUAGCCUUUCGAAAGGAAGAUUAAUACCCCAUAAUAUAUUAUUCGGCAUCGGGUGAUAUUGAAAACUACGGUGGAUAGAGAUGGGCACGCGCAAGAUUAGCUAGUUGGUGAGGUAACGGCUCACCAAGGCGACGAUCUUUAGGGGGCCUGAGAGGGUGAUCCCCCACACUGGUACUGAGACACGGACCAGACUCCUACGGGAGGCAGCAGUGAGGAAUAUUGGACAAUGGGUGAAAGCCUGAUCCAGCCAUCCCGCGUGCAGGAAGACGGCCCUAUGGGUUGUAAACUGCUUUUAUCUGGGGAUAAACCUACUUACGUGUAAGUAGCUGAAGGUACCAGAAGAAUAAGCACCGGCUAACUCCGUGCCAGCAGCCGCGGUAAUACGGAGGGUGCAAGCGUUAUCCGGAUUUAUUGGGUUUAAAGGGUCCGUAGGCGGACUGAUAAGUCAGUGGUGAAAUCCGACAGCUUAACUGUCGAACUGCCAUUGAUACUGUUAGUCUUGAGUAAGGUUGAAGUGGCUGGAAUAAGUAGUGUAGCGGUGAAAUGCAUAGAUAUUACUUAGAACACCAAUUGCGAAGGCAGGUCACUAAGUCUUAACUGACGCUGAUGGACGAAAGCGUGGGGAGCG